AGAAGGUGGCGGGGCUUCUGGAGGAAAAGAAGCUUCGAUUUGCAGGUCUUGGAAGACGGAAGGGCAACUCUUGUUUACGUUUAAAACCGAGAGGCGGCCCUAGGGGUAGCGCCAGUUAGCAGGCGCUGAAAGGCCCUGGCUUCGUGGGUGUCUCUGAGCCAGGCUGGCGCUCGUGCGCGCUGGGCUCCGCGCUCAGUCGCUGGGGUGGGAGGCCAGGGGAAGCCGCCGCUGCAGGCCGAGCCGCGAGAUUUGCAGUGCAGGAGCCGAAGCGGCGGGCAUGGUGGGAGGUCCUUGGAAGCUGCUGCGGGGAACUGAAACGGCUCUGAUAGGCAGGCACAAAGACUUCUCUAGGACCCCCUACAAUGCUUUACGUUUGCCUCGUGCUUUAGAUUUCACAAAGUGCUUACACAUAACACGACCCUCCUCACUCGACCUGGUGAGAUGGGUAGCAUUUUGUGGAAGAUUCCGAGACUCAAGUUUGAGAGACUCACCCAAGGUCAGAGUUGGCGAGUGGGCGGUCCGUGGACAGGUGCGCAGGUCUCAGCGCCAUUUGGCCCGCGCUGCUGCUUCCUGUGUGUACUGGAUGUUCUCUAGGCUCGCCCAGCGUGGAAGCCCCGAGUUACCAGCCGCAACGUGGAAACCACAGAAGGGGAAAUAGAUGACUUUUGGUUAUCCAGAUCUCUUUGAAUCUUGUUCCUGUCAACUGACUUAUUAGUGCCAUCUCCUAAUUCUGUGUCAACUUGACAAGCCUGCUGUCUUUCCCUUCAUCCAAGUUGCCAAUAAAAAUGCUCAACAAGGCAGAGUGCUUUAGCAAGACCUGGAGAGAUCUCCUACAGGUUAAGCUACAGGAUUCAUGGGAUUAUGGAUGCUUAGAGAUGAAAGAGGUUUAGAGGUCAUUUUGACCAACCUCCUGCUGCAAGAAUUCCAUUUUUGGCAUUGCCGACGAAUCCUACAUGUUAAAGAACAUCUCUUUGAUGAUAGUCAAGAAAGAAUCUAGACAUUCGCUCACCUCCUGCACUGUGAGCUCCUUGAGGGUUUAUCUUUUAAAAACCGUAUACCUGUUUUACAAGGAUCUCACAAAGAUUAACAAUAUGUAUGCUAUGAAGGAUCCCAUCUGCCUCAGAGAAGAUACGCUUUUCAUCACAGACUGUAUACUUUUUACAGUUCUUAUCUAUUUAUUCUACUGCAAAAACUGCCGAUUCUACAGAGCCUAUUAAUUCCACUGGGAAAACAUGUACGGAAUGUGCUCAUGAGUAUGGGACUUCCUGUAAUUGUUGGAAAGAAGAAAAAGGCUGAUAGAAAAAACAUUUUGGCCUGGCACUCAGGAGAAAACUUCUGCUGAGGAAUGAACAGGGAAAAACAAUGAUGGACCACCUCAAGGAACAAAUCGGAUAGCUUCGACUUCCCCUCUGGAAGCCCUGCUGCGCUGGGAUGCACCUAUCCCUACUUCUUAGAUGUUCCCAUAUGUUCUCAACAGCAUUCUGUCCCUCCUAAGCAGUGUCACUAAAGCUAGCUGGUCUCUUAGGAUUGUUACCUUUAUUGAUGAUUUUCCCUUUGUGCUUCCUGGUGUCUGGCACCAAGACCACACCCCUACUUCUCCAAUGGCCCUUUCCCUCAGUAAGCUUAGCUUAUUGCUCACCUCCCACCUUCUCCCUGAACCCCAGCAGAAAGACAUGGACCUGUCAGAUGCUCCCGAUAUUUAAGUGUCUAUGCCAAAAUCUCAUGUGGACCUUGUUUGUUCAAAUGAGUUACUAUUGAGAGAGACAGCAAAGUCAUCUUCUUUAGGGAACCUGAAAAUUGUCUUCAGUCUGAAAAUUGUCUUCAGAAGGAGCAAAAGAUAGGUGAGAGGGAGAGGAUAAGAGGAGAGCCAUGUAUUCUCCUGACCAUGAGCUCGCGGUAGAUAAACCCCUGGUUACCUGAAGGCAGCACCGUGAGCACCAUCCGCUGUGACUCAUCGGAUGCUUGAUUAAUCCACUUGCUUGGGUGUCCAUGGAGCUGCCACUCUGCCACCCUACACCAGUACAUUCCUGCAUCCUCCAUCUCCACCUGAUGAAGCUUCAGGACAAAGUCUGUAGAGGAUGAACGGUAACAGUGCAGGUGCCUCCUGAGCCCCUCUUCCCCAUACUCCAGCAAGCCAUCAUGUUGCAAGUGCACCAGCAAUUUACUUCCAGAGUUUUCUCUGUUCCAGUACCACAUCACAGAGUACAGAGUGGCUGAGCUGCCUACACUCUCCAGGCUGCAGCGGAUGGCCACUUCUCUGUGCUCAGUCACAUUUUCGGUCCAGUACACUUUGGAGACACGUACCUUACUUCCUAGAAAAUAAAAUGGCAGUAAAUUAGAGAAUGCAGACUUUCAGAUUUGGAUACCACCUCUGAAAAAUCUAGUUCUCACUGGGAAGAUCUUAUAUUCUUUAGACAUCAGUGCAUUCAUUUUAUUUUUUUUAUUAUUUUUAUUUUUUGAGACAGAGUCUUGCUCUGUCACCCAGGCCAGAGUGCAGUGGCAUGAUCUCAGCUCACUGCAACCACUGCCUCCUGGGUUCAAGCAAUUCUCCUGCCUCAGCCUCCCAAGUGGCUGGGAUUACAGGCGUGUGCCACCAUGCCCAGCUGAUUUUUGUAUUUUUAGUAGAGACGGGGUUUCACCAUGUUGGCCAGAUUGCUCUUGAGCUCCUGGCUUCAAGUGAUCUGCCCACCUCAGCCUCCCAAAGUGUUGGGAUUACAGGCAUGAGCCACCACGUCCAGCCACAUUCAUUUUAAUUCUUGUCCUUGGUCCCUGUUUUUCUCUCACAUUUGCCAGGACAUUCUCUGCUAGGAAUCAAACCAGCCUCUUUCCUUCUUUAGCCCAACUGCUUGCCUGCUGGACCCUGCCAUUGAAAACUACACAGCUUCUGCAGGGCCCUCUGCCUGCUGCUUUUACUUACCCUUGAUUCACUCCUCCUCUACUUCCCAAAGUGGUCAUUCACAACUUUUAGCAGCUCCCUCAAGCCAUGUAUUCCACCAGUACCCCUCAUUCUUAGCAAAUUACUCUCCUCCCAUACACCCAGAUAUUAUCUUGGGUGUAAACGCAGAGAGAGAGGACGCCAUCCAAGAGACUGAACAUUUUGAUGCAAGUGUUAGAAGGCCAUCCAUGGGAGCUAUUUAGAUGAUUGGAUUAGACUGAGUUUUAAAGAGAUUUUGACAUUUACUUUUUUUCCCCUUGCUAACCAGCAGGUGAGGAUUUAGAAUAACAGCCAAAGUAGUUACAAACAAAAUAAAGAAAUUAUAGUGUGCAUUACAUUUUCAAUUCCA
rnacentral:lncRNA from 1 species